UUUCCGUAGGUGAACCAGCGGAAGGAUCAUUACCGAGUGAGGGUCUCUCAGGCCCGACAUGCCUACCUGUGUUUUUGUGAACUUGUUGCUUUGGCGGCCUUGCCUCGAUGACAGGCCGCCGGCAGGUCACCGCUUUCGGCCCGUGCCCUUCUGGCCCCCCCUUAUAUUCUUUAUUAACCUGUCGUCUGUGUUUAUGGAAAUAAUGAAAAAAAACUUUAAACAACAGAUCUCUUGGUUCUUGCAUCGAUGAAAAACGGAACAGCGCGGAAGAGCACACGU
rnacentral:misc_RNA from 1 species